AGCUGACCGCGAGGGGUCCGCCUGGGCGGGGCAGGGGGCGGCGGCGGGCGGUCUGAGCGCCUCGGUUUCUGUUCCGUUCGCGGCUAGCAACAGCGGCACGGUGUGAGUUAACCCUUUGUUUUGGGUGUUUGUGGAGCGAUUUCUUUUGUGUUUGAUUCACGUGUGGCAUUAUUAUUAUUAGUUUUUCUACCGGGAAGCUCUCGCGUCCCCUUUCCUCCGUGUGCGGUGAGAUAAAGGUAGGGCGGAAGGCUUUCCUAAGUGCGUAAUUUUCAGUGAAAUUAGGAAAUUCUGUCAGUACGGCAGAAGAGGCGCUCCAUCCCGGACUUAUCCAAAAGCAGCCGUUCUACAUCUACCCCGCUCUUGAAGGAGAGAGUGCCAGAAAAGGUGAACGCUUCUGCAGGUACCUGCCUAGUUGCUCUGUGGAGGAUUUUGGACUUGUUUAUGGAGCUUUCCUGGCAGGAUUGUGAUCGGAGAGAGCGUUUUGAUCGAUUGGGACUCGCGGAGCAGCUGAUUAGUUCUGGAAAACCUUUAUGCUGUAGUCAGCUUCACCUUCUGUUUUCUUCAGACAUUUUUUUUUUUUAUGACAUGGAGGAAGAAUGCAAGUUUAGAGUCGUGUCAGAUGCUGGCAAAGGAAGGUAUCGCACAGUCAGUGGCAGUGUUGGGUGCUCCCUCUUCCAUCAUAUGUCAAGAUCCAAGCGUCCUUGUGUGGAGUCUUGAACUUGGAGACAACAAUGUGUUUAUCCCCUGCAAUGAGACCCAGUCCUCUUUCUCAUCCCGUUGUCCCAAUCACAUGAUCCCAGGACUUAAAAAAAAUUGAGGGAUGUAGUGGGUGGGGAGAAGACCUUUUCAUAGAGACAUUUAGCAAGUUGCUAGUAUAUGAGAAGCUUUUAGUCUUUGGUUUUGUAGUUCUGAAAGUGCUCAUAAACAUAAAUUAAUAGGAAUGGGGAAAAGAAUUUGUAUUUUCAGAAUUACCAGAUGCUUUGCUACUCUUUUAACACCAAAAUUCAUAAGCUGUUUUAAAACUUCUCUCCUUGUGCUUGUAAGUUAUGUUCCCAUUCUUACUUGAUUUCUCCCCCCCCUCCUCUUUUUCACACUGAAGAAAUAUGGAUGUCAGGAGUAGAAACUAUUUGCUUAUGAAUCGUCAAGCAUUGGAAAAUGACAUCAAGACUUCUUAUAUUAUGGAUCGUAUGAUUUCUGACGAAGUACUAACAUUACAGGAGGAGGAAAGAGUGAGGCAGCAGAAUACACGGAAGGAGCGAGCAGCUAUGCUAAUAAACAUUAUUCUUACAAAAGAUAAUAAUUCAUAUAGAUCCUUUUAUAAUGCACUGCUUCAUGAAGGGUACAGAGAUCUUGCUGCGCUUCUUCAGGACGGCAUCCCUGCCAUCUCGUCUGGUAACAGAAAGAGUUCGAUGGAUGGAAUGACUUCCCAUGUGAAGACCAUUCUCUGCGAAGGAGGCGUACCACAGAGACCAGUUGUGUUUGUCACUCGGCCAAAACUGGUAGAUGCUAUUAAAAAGAAACUGUACUGCUUGGGAAGUGAGCCAGGCUGGGUCACAGUUUAUGGAAUGGCAGGCUGUGGGAAGACUGUCUUAACAGCAGAAGCUUUAAGGGAUCCUCAGCUCUUGGAAGAUUACUUUCCAGGAGGAGUUCACUGGAUCUCUGUUGGGAAACAGGACAAAGCAGGGCUCCUCAUAAAACUUCAGAAUCUCUGUAGUAGAUUGGAACAUGACUCCACUCUUCCACAAAGGCCACUUAACAUUGAGGAGGCUAAAGAUCGUCUUCGUUUGCUGAUGCUACGCAAAUACCCCAGAUCUCUUUUGGUCCUGGACGACAUUUGGGAUUCCUGGGUGUUAAAAGCAUUCGAUAAUCAAUGUCAGGUUCUCAUCACGAGCAGGGACAGGAGUGUAACGGAUGCUGUGGCUGGCAAUAAGUACGAGGUUCAUGUGGAAAGUGGACUAGCACAUGAGAAAGGCCUGGAGAUUUUAUCCCUAUUUGUGAAUAUGAAAAUAUCAGAACUGCCAGAACAAGCUAACUCCCUUGUAAGAGAAUGCAAAGGUUCUCCUCUUGUGAUAUCCUUGAUAGGUGCAUUACUACGAGACUUCCCUAACCGCUGGGAAUACUAUCUCAGGCAGCUGCAGAAUAAGCAGUUUAAAAGAAUAAGAAAAUCUUCCUCUUAUGAUUACGAAGCCCUUGAUGAAGCAAUGUCCAUAAGUGUUGAGCAACUGGAUGACAAUUACAAAGACUACUAUAAAGACCUCUCUAUCCUCCCAAAAGAUGUUAAAGUACCUACUAAGGUUCUUUGUAUUCUUUGGGAUAUGGAAACUGAAGAAGUUGAAGAUAUACUACAGGAAUUUGUUAACAAAUCCCUGUUGUUCUGUGAUCGUAAUGGGAAGUCGUUCCAUUACUAUUUACAUGAUCUUCAGCUUGACUUUCUCACAGAGAAGAAUCGCAACCAGCUUCAGGAGCUACAUAAAAACAUAGUAAAUCAGUACAAGAAAUACUACAAGCUUAAUACACCUGUUCUGUCUCAAGAGGAUUGCAUGUACUGGUAUAACUUCCUAGCGUAUCACAUGGCAGGUGCCAACAUGCAGCAGGAGCUCCGUGAUCUGAUGUUUUCUUUAGAUUGGAUUAAAGCUAAAACAGAAUUGGUUGGGCCUGCUCAUCUGAUUCAUGAAUAUGUAGAAUAUAGCUCAAUCCUGGAUCAAAAGGAUAGCACAGUACGUGAGAAUUUCCAGGAAUUUCUGUCCUUAAAUGGGCACCUUCUUGGACGGCAGCCAUUUCCUGACAUUAUCCAGCUGGGACUUUGCCAGCCAGAGACAUCAGAGGUGUAUCAACAAGCCAAGCUACAUGCUCAGAGAGAAACAGGAGCAUUUUAUUUGGAGUGGAUAAAUAAAAAAUCCUUGAAAAAUCUCUACCGUCUGGUUGUUCGUCCACACCGAGAUGCAGUUUACCAUGCCUGCUUUUCUAAGGAUAGGCAAAGAAUAGCAUCAUGUGGAGCUGAUAAAACACUUCAGGUGUUCAAAGCAGAAAGUGGAGAGAGACUCCUGGAGAUAAAUGCCCACGAUGAUGAAAUACUCUGUUGCGCUUUUUCUGCAGAUGGUGAAUUUGUAGCAACUUGUUCAAGUGACAAAAAAGUGAAGGUCUGGAAUUCAAGAACAGGCCAGUGUAGGUGUGUAUACGAAGAACACUCUGAGCAGGUUAAUUGCUGCCAGUUCAAUAACAGAAGUGGUCAGUACCUUCUAGCCACCUGCUCAAAUGACACUUUCAUCAAAGUUUGGGAUUUGAAUAAAAAAUACUGUAGAAAUACAAUGAUAGGUCAUGAAAAUUCUGUCAAUCACUGCAGAUUUUCACCAAAUGAUGAAUAUGUUGCUAGCUGCUCGACAGAUGGAACAGUAAAGCUUUGGGAAGCACGCUCAGGAAAUGAACUGAAAAGUAUUGAGAUAAAAGAUUUCUUCAAAAAUGCAGAUGAGCAACCAGAUGACGUGGAGGUUUUAGUAAAAUGUUGCUCUUGGUCCAGAAAUGGUGACAUGAUUUUGGUGGGAGCCAAAAAUAAGCUUUUGCUUUUUGAUAUCAAAACCUGUGGUUUGUUAACUCAAGUCAUCGUCAGUCAUCACAGCACAAUCCAAUACUGCGACUUCUGUCCUGGGGAUGAGUUGGUGGCAGUUGCUUUGUCUCACUGUUCUGUUGAGUUAUGGAAUAUUAAGUCUUUAUCAAAAGUGGCGUACUGCAGAGGACACAUGAGCUGGGUUCACUGUGUGACAUUUUCACCAGAUGGAUCUUUAUUUUUGACUUCAUCUGAUGACCAGACAAUACGCAUUUGGGAAACAAAGAAGGUGUGCAAGUCUUCUGAUGCUGUGCUGAAAAGUGAACUAGAUGUUGUAUUUCACAAUGGUGAAGUGAUGAUUUUAGCCAUCUACAAUCAGAAGCACUUACAACUUAUCAAUGGAAAUACAGACAAUGUUAUUAUGCAGACAGCAGCCCAAGAAUCUCCCAUUUCCUGCUGUUGCUUAAGUGAAGAUCUUAAGUUUGCAGCUUUCGGACAGGAGAGUGGAACAAUAAAGGUACUACAGUUGUCAGAUGGGAAGGUUCUGAAGUCCUGGGAGGCCUGCAGGACAUCUGUGCAGCACUGUCGAUUCACACCUGAUUGUCAGACUCUCAUCUCAAGUGCUCAUGAUUCAGUUAUACAGGUAUGGAAUUGGCAGUUGAGCGAAUGUGCCCUCCUAAGAGGGCACAAGGAAGCCAUCAAGGACUUUAGACUUCUGGAAAAUUCAAAACUUCUCUCCUGGUCAUUUGAUGGAACCGUUAAGGUUUGGAAUAUCACUACUGGAAACCCAGAAAAAGAUUUUGCUUGUCAUGGAGGUGCUGUUCUUUCUUGUGCUGUUUCACCUGAUGGUAGUAAAUUUUCAUCUACUUCUGCUGACAAAACUGCAAAGAUAUGGAGCUUUGAAAGUUCAUCUGUUCUUCAUGAAUUGAAAGACCAUGAAGCCUGUGUGCGGUGCUGUACUUUCUCUCCUAAUAACAAACUAUUGGCCACUGGAGAUGACAAAGGAGAAAUAAGGAUUUGGGACGUUUUAACGGGUGCAUUACUUCACUUCUGCUCCCCAGUCACUGUAGAUGAAGGAGAACCAACACAUGGGGGUUGGGUAACAGACCUCUCCUUUUCUCCUGACAGUAAAAUGCUUGUGUCAUCUGGAGGCUAUCUGAAGCGUACCAGGACCUUAAAUGAAGUCACCUCAACCAAAGAAGACAAAAGAUCAAGUGGUAACUCCUUUGGAUUAGUGCAAGUUUGUAAAAGUCCCUUUGGAUCUGAAGAAAGGACUGCUGAACCACUGUCCCAUGCUAGAGGAGACCCCGUGGACUUCUCUCCAACUGGCUUACACUAGUAUUGGAAUCUGAAAUAAGCAGUUGCUUGAAAUGGCUGCCAGUGCUGUGGUGACACAACCCUGCCAGCUGAUGAGCAAAGGUGGCAACAUGGAGCAUUUCUGACUCAAGAGAACUCCUGAAAGUUCUGUCAUCCUCCAGAGCUGGCAGCCUGAUGUGCUGCUUCCCCGGGCACAUGCCUUGGGAUGCUCUGUGCUCUCACCAAGCAGCACAGGAAGAGGCUGCAGCAUGGGUGUGAUGCUUCCAAAAGGACAGAAGGCCAGUGCUGGAAGUGUGUGCUCUGAUUUACAGAUGCAGUGCAGCUGGGUAUGUGUGCAGGUCAGUGUGCUGCUUCAGGUGUGUGCUGCAAGUCCUAGGGAAACCUCCUCAUGGGUUUGUUUUCUAGAAGUAAAACUGAGCUCAAAUGCUGGGGUAACAACACUCUUGUAAGCAAGGGGAAGGGAGGUUAGUGGGCAUAACCAAAAAAGUCAGGCUAUUAUGCCUAAAACCAGUCCUCUGUUUAUGGGGAAAAAAACUUGUUGAAAGAUUUAUAAAGCAUGAGUGAGGUAUCAGAGGGGCUGCUAUAAAUACCUUUUUCAUAUUUAUAUGUACAGUUUUACAUCAAUGAAAAAGCAGCUGUGAGUUUCAAAUUUGACCUUAAUCUAAAUGGCAAGUGAAUUCCUAUGGUAAUUUUUCUUCAGGUUUGUGGGUUUGUUUUUGUAUAUUUCUUUUUGGGCUCCUACUGGAGCCUAUUUUUAGGCCCCUACUAGAGCCUAUUUCUGGGCUACUAACUCUGCAAUAAUGUUUGGAACCCCUGCAGAGCAAAGGCAAGCCUGUUGGCUUGCCUCCAUAUGAUGUCCUACAGUCCCCUUAGAAUAAUUCAUAAAUCUUUGAUGUGAUUCAGACAUUACCCUCUCCUUCCUCAACCUCCACAGCCUAUAGUUGGAAGCAAUUCUGCAUUGCUUUGAACCUAGGUAACUUCAAAUUCUCAUGUUUCUGAUACUUUUUCAAAUGGGAUAUGCCUUUACUAGUCAAGUCUAACUGUUAAGCUUGCAGUAAGUGAGAAAGCAAUGCAUGCACUUGGAAGAACACUAUUUGCCACCCUUCAAUCAUUAAAACAAAGUUAAAUGGAAAAGCAUUUGAUUUCAUGCCCUACACUUAAAUUUCCCUGAAGAAUUUCCAUUCCUCUUUUAUCACUCAUAUAUACUGUGAUAAUAUAGGCUAAAUUCAGCAUAUUUAGCUCAUUAGAAGAGCUUCUUAUAAAGGUGCUAGCUCUGUCCUGUGUUAGGCCAGACAGAAAACAAUUAUAUUCCUGCACUGGGACAUGCUCUCUGAUGACUACAGUCACAACAGCAAGCCAGCCAAAGUUUCAUAGCUUCCUAAUUAAGAAUGUCUGCCUGAUUUGAUAGCUGUAGUCUCCAAAUUAUCUCCCCUUUAACUUCAAGGGAAACUGGCCAGGACUGAAAAACACUGAGGAUGCAGUUUGCCAGUGGAAUAAUAAAAGCAAAGCUAAAGAGGCUGUUAUAAAGUGCUCUGCCUUUUAGCAGAAUUCUGGCUAUGGAAUUAAGAGCAACAGAGUAUAGUCGUUAGAAAUGUCGAGAAUAAUAUAAUUUGAAAUGGAGUGUGCUUUUCAGUGGGAUAAGAAUAUUAUUCUAAAGAGAGAUGUCUUUAGAAUCAGCUGUCAUGACAGUAAGAGAGCACACUAUAUCAUGAUGAGAUUGUCUGCAGUGGAUAUUAUUAUUACUAAGGAAUACAUCAGCAGGACAAGGUGUAGGAAUGGCUUGUUGGAGAAUAUGCAGGCUACAAUACUAGUAGGAGUGAGAAAAUACACCAUCCAGUGUGGCAUACAAAAAGAUCACUGAGACUGGCCUGAAAAUUUGGGAGAUAAGAGUGGAGACAGACUGAAAGUUUGCCAUACUGAGCCACAAUUUUAGUUUAAGUCCUGCAUCUUGUAUGAAGCCACUAUAAUCUCUUUUCCUUUGUUGUCUGUAAAAUGAAAAAAACAGGCCUGCCUGGGACCUGAAAACUGUAAGAAACAUGUAACUGUUUCUCUGAUUAAUAAAUAUUUGAAAUAUAGCAAAUAAAACAGAAUAUGCACUGUUCUGUUCAAUAUUUGAAAAGCAAACUGAACCAUAGCUUGUACAUAAAUUCAUACAUUGUGUACUGUGGUAGAACCUUGACAAAGGGAAGUCUGAAAAUGGAGGCAAGAAGGGCUUUAGAACUGUACCUUGUGAAAUUUUAAAAAAUUAUCUCAAAAAACCCCGUAAGUAAAUAAGGUUGGUUUGAAGAAUUUCCCACCUGUAGUACUGGGAGAGGAUUAUAAGGACCAGAGUUGGUACAGAUUCAUGCAGGGGCUAUAUUGGAGAGGUAGGAGCAGGACUCCCUUGAGGAGAGGGGUGGAAAACCAAACCAAAAUCCAUAGUGGAAUUCUUCUGAUGGAGUGAGCAGACUAUUUACACCUUUUACAUGUGGCACAAAAGGAAGGAUACAGGUGUCCCUGCCUGACAGAUGCCUAGCACGGAAGCUGUAGAGCCCCUGGCUGCUGUAGGAGAGUCUGAUUCUCCCAGCACCCCAUCAAGCUCCUUAGAGAGGAGGGCCUGCAGUGCUUCCCAGCUGCUGCAGUCCUGCUCCUUGCUUGGUAUGGCACAGAAGGAAAGUGAGUAAGCCAACGCCCUUAAGCAACAAUUUCUGGGAGGUGAGGAAUGAGGUCAGCUGCCUUGUUUGCCAGGCAAUGCUACAAUUCAGAGCCCCAGUGAAGUCUGAGUCAGGAUUCUUCAGCUUUAACUCAGCCAACCUGUUAAAAUGGCUAAUUGUUUCCUUAAAUUUUAACUGACUUUUUUGUUGUCUGUUCAUAGGUGCAUUGGGCAAUGAUGGAUAUUACUUUGGAUAUGUCCAAUACCUGAACCAGAAAUUGAUAUAGGAUCUGUGUUGAUGGUUUGUUUCUCCAAAGGGAGUCCUUCACUUGUAGAUAAAAGGCUGCUCAGUAAAUGAAUGAAAGUGAAGUGGAUUUCAAAUAUUGAGCAAUAAAUCCUAUUCUUCCCUCAAACCUCUUCCCCUUCACUAUUCUGUAAUAAAGUCUGAUGGUUUUGCAA